AUGAGCGGCGGCUCGAGAAGUUGUGCUAAGGCAGACCUAGGAGAUUUCUUUGAUCAAUUGGAUCUGAACGAUGAGGCCUUCGAUGAUGUGGAAAUUGAUGAGGAUGAUCCUGCUCUGAAAGAUAGUGUCAAGUGGCUUGCCCUAGCUAGGGUUCAUACAGAGAAGACCUUCAGUCAAGGGGCCUUCUAUAGAGAUAUGCGGGCUGCAUGGAAUCCUGCUCAAGAUGUUCGUUUUCGUCCCGUUGGGGCUAAUAUGUUCGUUGUUCAAGCUUCUUGCCUUGGCGACUGGGAACGUAUCAUGGAACAAGGUCCUUGGUACCCUAUGAUGGGUUUAGUAUUGCCGAGGAGAUGA
rnacentral:rRNA from 1 species